AUUGUUUUCCAGUGUGCUCAUAACUGCAUCAAACUGCAGAGUACAUCUUCUCUGCAAGGCCACUAAGUUUAGGACAAGCAUUAGAUUCUAAUGAAUACUCAGAGGCACAUCUUGAAUAAAUGAAAAAAUUGAGGCUCAAAGAAGUCCACCAAAUUGAGAGUGAAGUAGGGGAAACAGCAUUUAACGCUUACAUUCUAAUGAUUUGUGUAAGAGCAGCAGGACAAGCUAUAGAAAGAAAAAGGUGGAAUUAUCAGGAUGGAAUUAAAGAUGCUUCCAAACAGAGGGGAUAUCUCAAGCCAUGACUCAGAGAGUUCUCCCCACAUUAUUAAUGGUAUGGGAAUUAGGAGGAGGUCAUCUGACUCACACGGAUCACCAUAUAAUUCCUUCUGGAGAACAGAAAAAAUGCAGAAGAGGAAAACCUCCAUAUGUGAAGCUAUGGCAAGGGAGUCUCCCCACCCCGCGCUCCAACAGAGUCUGGAGAUAAA